rnacentral:rRNA from 1 species
UACGGAGGAUGCAAGCGUUAUCCGGAAUGAUUGGGCGUAAAGCGUCCGCGGGUGGCUAUGUAAGUCUGCUGUUAAAGAGCAAAGCUUAACUUUGUAAAAGCAGUGGAAACUACAUAGCUAGAGUGCGUUCGGGGCAGAGGGAAUUCCUGGUGUAGCGGUGAAAUGCGUAGAUAUCGAGAGGAACACCUGCGGCGAAGGCGGGUAGCUGGGCCGACACUGACGCUGAGGCGCGAAAGCCAGGGGAGCGAACGGG